rnacentral:rRNA from 1 species
UACGUAGGGUGCGAGCGUUGUCCGGAAUCACUGGGCGUAAAGGGCGUGUAGGCGGUCAGGUAAGUGGGAUGUGAAAUGCCUCGGCUCACCCGAGGCACUGCAUUCCAAACUGCUUGGCUUGAGUAUGGGAGAGGAUGAGGGAAUUCCUGGUGUAGCGGUGAAAUGCGUAGAUAUCAGGAGGAACACCCAUGGCGAAGGCGGCUACCUGGACAAUUGCUGACGCUCAGGCACGAAAGCGUGGGGAGCAAAAGGG